AAAAAAAGAGGCCAACAUGAAAUUGGGAGGAAAAGAAUAGAUUAAUGUGUCGAUCAGUUCCCUGAUCUCUAAUUUCCUUCGAUCACGAGCCCUAAUUCCCUAAUCCCUCUUCGAUCCCCAUCCCUAAAAUCUAUCUCCUCCCAACCAUCUGUGAAGACAAACAAGAUUCAGCCAUACAGAAAUAAAGGAUGAUAUUUGUUAGGUAGGAUAGGCAUAUGGGUAUGCCUUCUCCUCAAUACCACCCUGACACUUAUUCCAUUACAUUGUCGCUACAUUAUAAUGGUGUGGUGAGACAUAUCCCUGAAGCUAUGUAUGUGGGGGGGUAGAGUGUCUAAAUAUGAUUAUGUAUUACCCCAAGAGAUCAACAUUGAAACUUUAAACUUGUUUUGUGAUAGUCUUGGGUUAAGGAAGGCUAGGGUAUUUUAUAUAUUGUGAAUAAAGACUUUAAAAUGUUGAUUGAUAAUAAUGAUAUAAAGAGGGCAUGGAGGAGAAUUAAGAAGAGCAAAGAGAUGUUCAUUUAUGUGAUUUUAACUAUGACUAAUGUUUAGCCAUCACUUGCAGAGAUAACAGCUAGGGGCCGUAAGCAGCUGUCGUUAAUUUGUAGUCGCCAUGAUUACUUUUAAUUGACUCGCGAAAAUCAUAUUUAUUCUAGUGAAUCACUAGCAACUACUUAUAAGCAACACAAUGUCAGCAAAAAUGUCAUUCUCUUAGGAUCGUUUUUUGAAUCAUCAGCUGGUAAUGAGUAUCAAGACAUCAGCAAGAUAUUUCAAACUAACGGAGGUAAAGUUCCUAAUGCGUCCGACAAAAAUAAGGCAAGGAGAACGUACUUCUGCGAUUUACGUUUCCAGUUGAGUUUCUGAAACUACUUCCCGAUGCAGAAUUUGCCGAAUAUGUUGGACAAAACUUCUUCGGAGAUGUCUUCUCCGCUUAUUUGUC